UUUUAGAAAUUAAUUUAAAGUCUAGCCUGCCCACUGAAUAAUUUUAAAUGGCCGCAGUAUCCUAACUGUGCAAAGGUAGCAUAAUCAUUAGUCUUUUAAUUGAAGGCUGGAAUGAAUGGUUGGAUGAAAUAUUAACUGUUUCAUAUAAAUUUAUAAUAGAAUUUUAUUUUUUAGUCAAAAAGCUAAAAUAAAAUUAAAAGACGAGAAGACCCUAUAAAUCUUUAUAUUUAAAUAAUUUUAAUUAUUUUGAUAAAUUAAAUUAUAAUUAUUCCAAAUAUUUUAUUGGGGUGAUAUUAAAAUUUAAUAAACUUUUAAUUUAUAAUGAACAUAAAUUAAUGAAUUAUUGAUCCAUUUAUUAUGAUUAAAAAAUUAAGUUACUUUAGGGAUAACAGCGUAAUUUUUUUAGAGAGUUCAUAUUGAUAAAAA
rnacentral:rRNA from 1 species